GAGUAAUGCAUAGAUAAUGUGCCCCUUAGUUCGGGAUAGCCACUGGAAACGGUGAUUAAUACCGGAUACUCCUUCUUGUUAUAAGACAAGUCGGGAAAGUUUUUCGCUAAGGGAUCAGUCUAUGUUCCAUCAGCUUGUUGGUGAGGUAAUGGCUCACCAAGGCUAUGACGGAUAUCUGGUUUGAGAGGAUGAUCAGACACACUGGAACUGAGACACGGUCCAGACUCCUACGGGAGGCAGCAGUGAGGAAUAUUGCACAAUGGAGGAAACUCUGAUGCAGCAACGCCGCGUGGAGGAUGACGCAUUUCGGUGUGUAAACUCCUUUUAUUAGGGAAGAUAAUGACGGUACCUAAUGAAUAAGCACCGGCUAACUCCGUGCCAGCAGCCGCGGUAAUACGGAGGGUGCAAGCGUUACUCGGAAUCACUGGGCGUAAAGGGUGCGUAGGCUGGCUUUUAAGUCAGAUGUGAAAUCCAAUGGCUCAACCAUUGAACUGCAUUUGAAACUGAAAGCCUAGAGUUCAGAAGGGGCAGAUGGAAUUAGUGGUGUAGGGGUAAAAUCCGUAGAUAUCACUAGGAAUAUCAAAAGCGAAGGCGAUCUGCUGGGAUGAU
rnacentral:rRNA from 1 species